UGGCACAAUGGUUAAGCACUUGGCUUCUAACCAAAAGGUUGGUGGUUCAAGCCCACC
rnacentral:tRNA from 1 species